UACGUAGGGCGCAAGCGUUGUCCGGAAUCAUUGGGCGUAAAGAGCUCGUAGGCGGCCUGUUGCGUCCGCUGUGAAAUCCCGGGGGCCUAACCCCGGGCGUGCAGUGGAUACGGGCUGGCUGGAGGCAGGCAGGGGAGAACGGAAUUCCCGGUGUAGCGGUGAAAUGCGCAGAUAUCGGGAGGAACACCGGUGGCGAAGGCGGCUCACUGGACCAUAACUGACGCUGAUGCACGAAAAGCUGGGGGGAGCAAACAGGG
rnacentral:rRNA from 1 species